rnacentral:rRNA from 1 species
AGUGGCGGACGGGUGAGUAACGCGUGGGUAACCUACCCUGUACAGGGGGAUAGCAGCUGGAAACGGCUGAUAAAACCGCAUAAAACGGCAGUACCGCAUGGUACAACCGUCAAAUAUUCGAUAGGGUACAGGAUGGGCCCCGCGUCUGAUUAGCCAGUUGGUGGGGUAACGGCCUACCAAAGCGACGAUCAGUAGCCGGCCUGAGAGGGUGAACGGCCACAUUGGGACUGAGAUACGGCCCAGACUCCUACGGGAGGCAGGCAGUGGGGAAUAUUGGGCAAUGGGCGAAAAAGCCUGACCCAGCAACGCCGCGUGAAGGAAGAAGGUCUUCGGAUUGUAAACUUCUGUCCUAAGGGAAGAGGAGAAGACUGUACCUUAGGAGGAAGCCCCGGCUAACUACGUGCCAGCCGCCGC